rnacentral:rRNA from 1 species
AUUGAACGCUGGCGGCAGGCCUAACACAUGCAAGUCGAGCGAGAAAGGUCUUCGGACUGAGUAGAGCGGCGGACGGGUGAGUAACGCGUAGGAAUCUACCGAGUAGUGGGGGAUAACAGGGUGAAAACCAUGCUAAUACCGCAUACGCCCUAAGGGGGAAAGGACGGGCUUCGGCUCGUGCUAUUCGAUGAGCCUGCGUUGGAUUAGCUAGUUGGUGGGGUAAAGGCCCACCAAGGCGACGAUCCAUAGCUGGUCUGAGAGGAUGAUCAGCCACACUGGGACUGAGACACGGCCCAGACUCCUACGGGAGGCAGCAGUGGGGAAUAUUGCACAAUGGGCGAAAGCCUGAUGCAGCCAUGCCGCGUGUGUGAAGAAGGCCCUAGGGUUGUAAAGCGCUUUCAAUAGGGAGGAAAGCUAGUAGUUAAUACCUGCUAGCCCUCGACGUUACCUAUAGAAGAAGCACCGGCUAACUCCGUGCCAGCAGCCGCGGUAAAG